GACGGUAAAAUUACAGGGAAAUUUCAGAAACCCUAUAAAUUACUGAAAUCUUUGAAAUUUAUGAAAUUUAUUAAGUUUCAUAAAUUACAUAAAUUACGGUAACUUACGUGAAAUUUCAUCAAGGUUAACGAGUUUCAUUUUACCCCUCCCAUUGCUUUUAUUGGAAUUAUGUUGCAUUGUGCUUACGGCUUACCGCGUGUCGCCUUGUGUAAUUGUGCUGACUUUAGUUUUGCGUACCUAUGCCUAUGCGUCUCUUGUGUGUUGUGUUGACGAAUCAGUAAAAUAAUAUACCUAAUCUAUUGGAUUCAACGAACAAGCAUUAUGGUUAAACCAAGGUCUUCAGUGUGGAUGUAUUUUGAAGAAUGUAUAGAUAGUAAUAAAAAAACAACAUGUGUUCAAUGCAAAUUUUGCAAAGAAAAAUAUUCAAAAAAUUCCACUAGGAUGAAAAUCCAUAUUGGAAAUUGCAUGAAAGCCCCCACCAGUAUUCGCUCUAAAAUGACAGCUUCAUCGCGUACGUCUAGUCCUAGUACUAGUACUAGUACUACUAGUUGUAGUCGUCAUGAGAGUAAUGUUGAAAAAAAUACAGUACGCACUUUAUCUGCCGUUACACCCGUUAAAAAAUCAAAUUACAUUUCUAACAAACAAAGAUCCAUGGUAGAAAGUUUUGUAGACGUAAUGAAAGUAGAAGAACAUCAACAACUGACAGCCUUAUUUGCAAAGGCAGUGUUUACUAGUAAUACACCACUAUCAAUUACAGAAAACAGAAACUGGAAACUAUUCUUUAAAAGACUGAGACCCUCCUUUACGUUACCUGGGCGAUAUCUGUUAUCACAUCGUCUACUUGACGAAGAAUUUGAGAGAGUACAAAUUCAUGUGGAGGAAACUUUGAACAUUUCAGAAAAUUUGGCCCUUCAGUGUGAUGGGUGGUCAAAUUUAAGAAACGAAAGUGUCAUUAACGUUAUCAUCACAACCCCGCGCCCUUUAUUUGUCAAGUCUGUUUUAAGUGGCACUGCAAGUCAUACUGCUACCUAUUUAGAAGGUAUCAUGUUAGAGAUAAUCGAGAAAUAUGGGUCACAUAAAUUUAGCGCAAUAGUUGCCGACAAUGCCGCUAAUAUGCGUAAAGCAGCACGUAACAUACAAGAGAAAUAUCCCCAUAUUGUGUCAUAUGGUUGUAUGGCACACACUCUUCAUUUGAUGUGCUCAGAUAUAUUGCGAGUAGAAUCUGUUGAGCAGAUCAUUGUGUCUGUUAAGAAUAUUGUUAAGACCAUAAUGUCCAGUCAGAUAUUGCGAGCAAAACUAGAAGAAAUAAAAAAGGACAUGAAACUUACAACUUCGUUAAGUAUGCCUGUCAAAACAAGGUGGGGUUCACAUGUUAAAUCAAUGGAAGAUCUCGUUAAGUGCAAAUUUGCCUUGCAAAGACUUAGUAUAACAGAAGACACACAAAAAGUUGUUCAUACUAUAAAACCCGUUAUCCUAAGUGAGGAUUUUUGGGUCAGUGUGGAGGUGUAAUAAACCUUUUAAAGCCCAUAACACAAAGUAUAACACUUCUGGAAGGUGAUAGUCCUUCUAUUCAUUUAGUGUGCAAAUCCUUCAAUGCAAUAAAUUUAGAAUUUGAUUCUAAUUUACAACUGCUAAAAUUACAAGAAACGGAGAGGAAUAACAUAUUACAAAAAUUUUCAGAAAGGCAGCAGUAUGCAAUGCAACCUGUCCACAUGGCUGCUGAUCUGUUAAAUCCUCACUCUGUUGGCUCAUACUUGUCAAGUGAACAAAAAAUGCGUGCUAUGAAGUUUAUUAAUGGUUUGGCAAAAGACAUGAUGUUGCCAACUGCAAUAGCAGAAUUAGGUCACUACAUGGGCAAACUCCAUUUCUUUGCAGAGAAUUUUUUGUGGGAAGUACUACCUACGGUUGAUGCAAUAACUUGGUGGAAAGGUUAUUGUGGAGAUCUCUCACUUUCAAAAUUAGCUGUACGGAUUCUCACAAUGCCAUGUACAUCAGCUGCCACCGAAAGAAGCUUUAGCACUCAAAGUUUAAUUCACACAAACAGAAGAAAUAGGUUAACAAGCAAAAGAGCUAUAAAACUAAAUUAUAUUCAGCACAACAGUAAAUUGUUUAGUUCUCAAGAACCUACGACGGUUCAGGAUGACAGAAACUUCCAGCAUCAGCAAUCAAAUAUUAAUAACCCUGAAGCACCACCUACUAGCAGUUCCAAAGAAAAGUACUCACGAAAAUCAUUCUCAACCAAUCAAGUUUGUUCAGAGAGUUCUGAUUCUGACUCUAAUAUUUCGUGGACGUCGGAUAUAGAAGGAAAUGGAAACUCUGACGAUGACUUUAGUUACAAUGAUACCCCGUCUGAUGCAGAAGAGGAGCAUAUUGAUGAAACUCCCCAAACCAAAGGACAGAAACGCAAACGCGAUACUACUUGUCUACUUAGUGCAAGUCAUAUUGCUGGUUCCGACAGUAAAGAUGAUUCAUUAGAAGUACUGAACUGCAGUAUACAUAAUGCAGAUGAGUCCGUAUAUGAUCCUGAUCCCCAAGAAUCCCUACUCGAAUCUGAUCUUCAGUCAAUAAGCUGUAAGUCGUUUUACAAAGAAACAAUACCGAUAACACGCAGAAAGUAGCGUAAAGUACAAGUACAAGUGAUUCAACCAUUUUAGUUAAUUAAAGAAGACUGUGAAUUUCUUUUUUAUUAGUUUGAUAAGUAGUUCAUUUGUUUCGUGCUAUAGCAUAAGUUUAUGUCUAUUAUACAAUGUUACUUUGGGUUAGGAGUUUAAGUUUUUAGUUUUUCUUAUGUUGAUUUACAAUAUACCUACUUCUAAACGUAUUACCCAUGAGUCUUUUCCAGCAAAGUAUCAAACAUCCACACUACACAAUAAAAUAUCUUCCAAAACUCGUAUAUUUCAUAAAUUUCAUAAAUUACAGACAAAACUGUAAGUUACGUCAUA